GAAUUCUUUUAUUUUUUUAAUAAUUAGUUUUAUUGUUACAAAGCAAUGAAGACUUUCAAUAGGAGUGUAAAGGUUAAAGCCACUGCUAAAUGUCUUUGUUAAUGUUUUUUGUGGUUUUUUUUCCAUCAAUACUGUUUAUGGCAAACACUACUGGCUGGCUGAACCAAUACCCAUCCAUUUCAGCUAGUGAUGACCAUGUAAUACAUUUGUGGGUCAGAGCUAUAUAAGUAGAAGUUUGUUAUGUAAGGGGUUUGCUUUCCUGAUAAAAAGAGGUACAUUGAUCUGGUGCCGCAUUCUCACCUUUAUGUCUUUUGUUCCUUCUUCUCCUGUCUGGAAUGCAGACCCAGAUACACAGCAUCACUUUACAAUCAGGUGGCAGUAAGUAUGAGUACAUAAGCCUUGCCACUGAAGACGGUGGGGUAUGACGUUAAAAAAGAGCCAAAGUCCCCACAUAGCAUCUUUGAGAAGCUGAACUAACUUCCCAUCUCAAGACUUAACUGUUCUGUGUGAAAGACGAAUCCCUGUUUGCUUAAACUUCUCUUUCUGUUUUCUGUUAUUUGAAGCUGCAUCCACCCAUUCCUAAUCAGUUUACACUUUUAGACUUUUCAGUUAUCUGCCAUUAAUUGAAUGCUUAUACUGUGCCAGGCGCAGUGCUAAGUAUUUACAUAUGUUAAUUUAAUUCACAGGACAGCCAUAAGGAAAGUAACACUUUAUUACAGAUGACAUACUGGCAUACAGGAUGGAUGGAUCCCUGUGUGACUGGAAUGGUUUCAUCAGAUAGAGAAACUGAAGCAGAGAAAUGUUAAGCAACUUUGCAUAGCUAAUAUAUCUGCAAAGACCACAGCUGUGUUAUCAGGACCUCAACACUGUCGCUUGUUAAUUUGGAUGAGUUACUGUAAUGCUCAGAGCCUCUGUGUCUUCAUUUCUAAAUGACAAGAACAACUGGCUUUCACAGGGAAAGAAACAAGCACAACUGAUUUUGACUUUGGUAAGUAACAUAGGUCAAGGAGCAAGAAGAGAGCAAGGCUUCCCUGGUGGCGCAGUGGUUGAGAGUCCGCUUGCCGAUGCAGGGGA